AGAGUUUGAUCCUGGCUCAGAUUGAACGCUGGCGGCAUGCCUUACACAUGCAAGUCGAACGGUAACAGCACUUCGGUGGCUGACGAGCGGCGAACGGGUGAGUAAUACAUCGGAACGUGCCCGAGAGUGGGGGAUAACGCAGCGAAAGCUGUGCUAAUACCGCAUACGAUCUACGGAUGAAAGCAGGGGACCGCAAGGCCUUGCGCUCAUGGAGCGGCCGAUGGCAGAUUAGGUAGUUGGUGGGAUAAAAGCUUACCAAGCCGACGAUCUGUAGCUGGUCUGAGAGGACGACCAGCCACACUGGUACUGAGACACGGCCCAGACUCCUACGGGAGGCAGCAGUGGGGAAUUUUGGACAAUGGGCGAAAGCCU
rnacentral:rRNA from 1 species